AUAAUGGUUUUGACUAGCAGAGUAGUCAAGUUUGACUUAGUUUAGAGAGUUCCGGCAGCUGAAAAGGAAUCUAGGUGGCUUGAUGAACCACAGCUAGAAAUAACUGGUGGAUUGAAGAACGUAGGUCGACCCGGGAGUACCCGUUAACACAGUUGAUUUCAAAUCAACCUGAGGUCUACUUUGUGAAGAGUAGAUAAAUUGAGGUGGAACCACGUUUAAACGUCCUCUUG
rnacentral:ncRNA from 1 species